rnacentral:rRNA from 1 species
UACGAAGGGGGCUAGCGUUGCUCGGAAUUACUGGGCGUAAAGCGCGUGUAGGCGGCUAAGUAAGUCGGGCGUGAAAUCCCACGGCUCAACCGUGGAAGUGCACUCGAAACUGCAUAGCUAGAGUCCUGGAGAGGAAGGUGGAAUGCUUGGUGUAGAGGUGAAAUUCGUAGAUAUCAAGCGGAACACCGGUGGCGAAGGCGGCCUCUGGACCAUAACUGACGCUGAUGCACGAAAGCUAGGGGAGCAAACAGGAGUAG